UACGGGGGGGGCAAGCGUUGUUCGGAAUUACUGGGCGUAAAGGGCGCGUAGGCGGCUCAAUCAGUCGGGCGUGAAAGCUCUGGGCUUAACCCAGAAAGGUCGUUCGAUACUGUUGGGCUAGAGUGUGGAAGAGGCUACUGGAAUUCCGUGUGUAGCGGUGAAAUUCGUAGAUAUUAGGAAGAACACCGGUGGCGAAGGCGGUGGUCUGGGCCGGCACUGACGCUGAGGAGCGAAAGCGUGGGUAGCAAACAGG
rnacentral:rRNA from 1 species